GUCUAGUACUCAGAGUUUGAUCCUGGCUCAGGAUGAACGCUGGCGGCGUGCCUAACACAUUCAAGUCGAACGGAGUUAAAUAUCUUAAUCUUCGGAAGCGGAUGUUUGACUUAGUGGCGGACGGGUGAGUAACGCGUGAGUAACCUACCCUUAUGAGCGGAAUAACACAGGGAAACUUGUGCUAAUACCGCAUGACAAGUAGAGAUCGCAUGUUCUUUACUUCAAAGAUUUAUCGCAUAAGGAUGGACUCGCGUCCGAUUAGAUAGUUGGCGGGGUAACGGCCCACCAAGUCGACGAUCGGUAGCCGGACUGAGAGGUUGAACGGCCACAUUGGAACUGAGAUACGGUCCAG
rnacentral:rRNA from 1 species